rnacentral:rRNA from 1 species
CCUACGGGAGGCAGCAGUGGGGAAUCUUAUACAAUGGGCGCAAGCCUGAUCUAGCCAUGCCGCGUGAGUGAUGAAGGCCUUAGGGUCGUAAAGCUCUUUCGCCUGUGAUGAUAAUGACAGUAGCAGGUAAAGAAACCCCGGUUAACUCCGUGCCAGCAGCCGCGGUAAUACGGAGGGGGUUAGCGUUGUUCGGAAUUACUGGGCGUAAAGCGCACGUAGGCGGAUUAGAAAGUUAGGGGUGAAAUCCCGGGGCUCAACCUCGGAACUGCCUCUAAAACUCCUAGUCUAGAGUUCGAGAGAGGUGAGUGGAAUUCCAAGUGUAGAGGUGAAAUUCGUAGAUAUUUGGAGGAACACCAGUGGCGAAGGCGGCUCACUGGCUCGAUACUGACGCUGAGGUGCGAAAGUGUGGGGAGCAAACAGGAUUAGAUACCCUGGUAGUCCACACCGUAAACGAUGAAUGCCAGUCGUCGGCAAGUAUACUUGUCGGUGACACACCUAACGGAUUAAGCAUUCCGCCUGGGGAGUACGGUCGCAAGAUUAAAACUCAAAGGAAUUGACGGA